rfam:Candidatus Glassbacteria bacterium RIFCSPLOWO2_12_FTLL_58_11 rifcsplowo2_12_scaffold_11110, whole genome shotgun sequence.
AAUCCCGCCUGGAACUGUCCGGCUUGCAGCUUUCAAGGGAAGACGGGUAGUCAAUCCCGCGCUGACGUGCAGCCGUGGGGAGCAGAGUUAGAGGGCCGGAGGCGGUCACUGUCCAUCCUGGAUGGGAAGACCUCUCCGCAAGCGCCCGCUCCCAAGCCGGAAAACCUUGGGCUGAAAGCCUCGUACG